AAUGUAUCAGUGUACGUGGCCUUACUGGGAUGUCCAGGAUCUGAAGCGUAUUUAAGGGUCUGUCUUUGUGAACUUCAUCAGCUCCACACUGAACAGCUGAGAUCAUUCUGCUGCAGGUUACCAUUCUUACCCUAACACCGGGAACAUCUCCACCAUGAAGCUGCUGACCGUUUUCCUCAUCGUUUGUGUCCUGAUGGCUCUGACACAAGCUCAGGCCCUCAAAAACAGGGUUCAGGAUUCCCAUGCAGAGGAAGCAUCAAAUU